rnacentral:rRNA from 1 species
AGUGGCGAACGGGUGAGUAAAGUAUCGGAACGUGCCCAGUCGUGGGGGAUAACGUAGCGAAAGUUACGCUAAUACCGCAUACGAUCUAUGGAUGAAAGCGGGGGAUCGCAAGACCUCGCGCGAUUGGAGCGGCCGAUAUCAUAUUAGGUAGUUGGUGGGGUAAAGGCUCACCAAGCCGACGAUCUGUAGCUGGUCUGAGAGGACCACCACCCACACUGGGACUGAGACACGGCCCACACUCCUACGGGAGGCAGCAGUGGGGAAUUUUGGACAAUGGGCGCAAGCCUGAUCCAGCCAUGCCGCGUGCAGGAUGAAGGCCUUCGGGUUGUAAACUGCUUUUGUACGGAACGAAAAGGUUUGGCCUAAUAAGCUGAGCUCAUGACGGUACCGUAAGAAUAAGCACCGGCUAACUACGUGCCAGCAGCCGCGGUAAUACGUAGGGUGCGAGCGUUAAUCGGAAUUACUGGGCGUAAAGCGUGCGCAGGCGGUUAUGUAAGACAGAUGUGACAUCCCCGCGCUCAACCUGGGAACUGCAUUAGUGACUGCAUAGCUGGAGUACGGCAGAGGGGGAUGGAAUUCCGCGUGUAGCAGUGAAAUGCGUAGAUAUGCGGAGGAACACCGAUGGCGAAUGCUAUCCCCUGGGUCCUGUACUGACGCUCAUGCACGAAAGCGUGGA